UACGAAGGGGGCUAGCGUUGUUCGGAAUCACUGGGCGUAAAGCGCACGUAGGCGGAUGUGCCAGUCAGGGGUGAAAUCCUGGAGCUCAACUCCAGAACUGCCUUUGAUACUGAAGAUCUUGAGUUCGGGAGAGGUGAGUGGAACUGCGAGUGUAGAGGUGAAAUUCGUAGAUAUUCGCAAGAACACCAGUGGCGAAGGCGGCUCACUGGCCCGAUACUGACGCUGGGGUGCGAAAGCAUGGGGAGCGAACAGG
rnacentral:rRNA from 1 species